rnacentral:tRNA from 1 species
UCCCUUCUGGCUCAGCUGGUAAAGAAUCCACCUGCAAUGUGGGAGACCGGGGUUCAAUCCCUGGGUUGGAA